rnacentral:rRNA from 1 species
UACAGAGGGUGCGAGCGUUAAUUGGAAUUACUGGGCGUAAAGCGCGCGUAGGCGGCUGAUUAAGUCAGAUGUGAAAUCCCCGGGCUCAACCUGGGAACUGCAUCUGAUACUGGUAAGCUAGAGUUUUGGAGAGGGAAGUAGAAUUUCAGGUGUAGCGGUGAAAUGCAUAGAGAUCUGAAGGAAUACCAGUGGCGAAGGCGACUUCCUGGCCAAAAACUGACGCUGAGGUGCGAAAGCGUGGGUAGCAAACGGGAUUAGAAACCCGAGUAGUCC